UAUGAUAUCUGAUUUUAAAAUGUCCUUUAAUUUUUUUCCUCAGAGUCACAAAUGUUAUUGAAUUGCAAUUCCUAUUAUCUCCAGUUUGCAUGGUGAAUAGCUAAAAGUUAUGAGAAUUGUCCUUCAGUAACAUCUGGAGAUCCCAAAAAACCCUAAAGAGCACCAACCGCUAUGGCAUUUAUGUAUUAUUCAAGACAUUACAGUUGAAUCUUUCUUUAAUUUUCCUUUAUCUUUCUGAUUCUUUUUAUUUAGUGGGACUGACUGAGAGUUGGGAACCUGAGGGAUGGUGAGUGGGCCGAUAGAAAACUGAUCUUUUGGCACCCCCAGAGUAAAAAACAGAUAUCUGCUCUCCCCUAUUCAGGACACUCCCAAAAAUGGCACCCCCACCAAAAGCCAGGACACGAAAUGGCUUACAGGAUCUCAUGGCUGUAUCCAAUCAAAUGCUGCAGAUUCAUCCAUAUAAGUACUUUGUACCCAUAAAGGGAACAUAUAAGAACUUUGGGUUAAAUCUGUGGAUGGUACGAGGUUCCCUUUUAGUAUCAAAACUUCGGUUCCCUUACCUUGAACUCCUGAUACAACUGAUUUUUAUUUCUAGUUAUUGAACUCAGGGCUUUAAAGGGAAUAGGAAUGCAUCCCAGUCUUCAUCACUCUUUUUAUUAUAUGUGCUUGAUAUGGACUAUUAAAGAAACCAUAAGUCACAAUGUCUUUUGUUGUUUUAUAGGGCUUUCCUGGGUAAAUAAGAACAUCCUGUUCUUUGAAGCCUGAAAUACCUUGCUCUGGGCCAGUUUUAUCUCCAUUGUUUGCUUCUUCUUUUGAUUUCUUCUGCUCACACACCCUAAGAGGAAAUUUAAGGCUUACCAGCUUUUCUAUUGGCUGUACUUUAAAAGAAGGCGGACAUCAGAAAUCAAUCAGUCUAUUUCUCUGUCACAAGAAGAGCAGAAAGGAAUAUAGCUUCCUGUGUGCCAUGCCAAAAGAACAAGAGUGUAAGUGGCCACAAUGUACCUUUUCAAAAGUUUCUCUUAAUGCCGUUUUGCUAAAUAGGGGAUAGGAAUUGUGUGGCCCUCACGAAUGGUACUGUGCAGCAACUUUGCUAUUAUUGCAAUGAGAUUCUAAGAAGUAGGGCCCAAUACCCUUUGGAGGCCCACAUUUGCUCUAAAGCUUAGGAAUCAGCAUUUGGGUGGCUUUAGAUCAGAGCUAAGAAAUCUAGGAAUUCACCUCCACAUGCAAUGAUGUAAGAUGUGGGACCAUACACUUGGAUAUCAUUAGGACCUCAUUGCUGACUGGAACCAGUUUCACUUGCCAUGGGGGAGGUGAGGAAUGUGAGCAAAGUGCCAGCUGAGCCCUAUAGCCUAGUAGAGGGUUACUGUAGAUAUGUGGCUCCCUUAGAAGGACUUGGCUUUGCAUGCUUGAACUGGUGUGUGUGUGUG